rnacentral:rRNA from 1 species
GGCAGCAGCUCAAAUUUGAAAUCUGGCCGCCCCCGCGGGGGGCCCGAGUUGUAAUUUGCAGAGGACGCUUCCGGCGCGGCGCCUUCCGAGUUCCCUGGAACGGGACGCCACAGAGGGUGAGAGCCCCGUACGGUCGGACGCCCAGCCACUGUGAAGCCCCCUCGACGAGUCGAGUAGUUUGGGAAUGCUGCUCAAAACGGGAGGUAUAUGUCUUCUAAAGCUAAAUACCGGCCAGAGACCGAUAGCGCACAAGUAGAGUGAUCGAAAGAUGAAAAGCACUUUGAAAAGAGGGUCAAACAGUACGUGAAAUUGUUGAAAGGGAAGCGCUCGCGACCAGACUUGGGCCCGGUGGAUCACCCGGCGUUCUCGCCGGCGCACUCCGCCGGGCCCAGGCCAGCAUCGGCUCGCCGCGGGGGACAAAGGCGGCGGGAACGUGGCUCCCCAGGGAGUGUUAUAGCCCGCCGCGCAAUGCCCCGCGGCGGACCGAGGCCCGCGCACCGCAAGGAUGCUGGCGUAAUGGUCACCAGCGACCCGUCUUGAAACACGGACCAAGGAGUCGUCUUCGUAUGCGAGUGUUCGGGUGUCAAACCCCUACGCGGAAUGAAAGUGAACGCAGGUGGGAGCCUCGGCGCACCAUCGACCGAUCCUGAUGUCCUCGGAUGGAUUUGAGUAGGAGCAUACGGGGCCGGACCCGAAAGAAGGUGAACUAUGCCUGUAUAGGGUGAAGCCAGAGGAAACUCUGGUGGAGGCUCGCAGCGGUUCUGACGUGCAAAUCGAUCGUCAAAUAUGGGC